AGUGAACGCUGGCGGUAGGCCUAACACAUGCAAGUCGAACGGCAGCACAGUAAGAGCUCGCUCUUACGGGUGGCGAGUGGCGGACGGGUGAGGAAUACAUCGGAAUCUACUUUUUCGUGGGGGAUAACGUAGGGAAACUUACGCUAAUACCGCAUACGACCUACGGGUGAAAGCAGGGGAUCUUCGGACCUUGCGCGAGUGAAUGAGCCGAUGUCGGAUUAGCUAGUUGGCGGGGUAAAGGCCCACCAAGGCGACGAUGCGUAGCUGGUCUGAGAGGAUGAUCAGCCACACUGGAACUGAGACACGGUCCAGACUCCUACGGGAGGCAGCAGUGGGGACUAUUGGGCAAUGGGCGCAAGCCUGAUCCAGCCAUACCGCGUGGGUGAAGAAGGCCUUCGGGUUGUAAAGCCCUUUUGUUGGGAAAGAAAAGCAGCAGGUUAAUACCCCGCUGUUCUGACGGUACCCAAAGAAUAAGCACCGGCUAACUUCGUG
rnacentral:rRNA from 1 species